UCUAGUUUUAUUUCCUCUUCUGUGAAUUGUCUGUGUGUGUCCCUUGGCCGUUUCUGAAUCAUUUGUUAUGUUUAAACCAGAUCACAUCUUGGGAGAGGCCUCCUGGCUGAGGGCCAGAUGCUGGUUACUUGGACACAGUGGAUAUAAUGGCUUGGGUCCCCAGAUCUCCCUGCAGAGUUCACCCAUCCCCUCUUCAGCUGGCCUUGGAGGGAUGAUCCUCUCCUAGCAGCACUGUGCUCACCAUGUUUUUUCCAGGAAUGUACCAGAAGGAAUGGCCAGGUUUUCAUAACCAACUUGGCCACCUUCACCGAGAAGUUCCUACUGCAGUUGGAUGAGGUGGUCACCAUUGACGAUGUCCAGGUUGCAAGGAUGGAGCCCCCCAAACAGAAAUUAUCAAUGCUCAUACGAAGGAAACUCGCUGGGCUCUCCCUGAAGGAAGAGAGUGAGAAACCCCUGAUUGAACGUGGAAGCAGGAAGUGGCCAGGGAUCAAACCCACCGAAGUCAGCAUCCAAAACAAGAUUCUUCUCCGGCCAACAUCAUCGAUUUCCACCACCAAAACCACCCUGGGCCACCUGGCGGCCGUGGAAGCCCGAGAUGCUGUGUACCUGAAAUAUUUAGCAUCAUUUGAGGAGGAGCUGAAGAGGAUCCAGGAUGACUGCACAUC
rnacentral:sRNA from 1 species